CUGCCUCAGACCAGACCUGUGGACAGGUCUGCUCCUGACCAGACCUGAGGACAGGUCUGCUUUUGACCAGACCUGUGGACACGUCUGCUAUUGACCAGACCUGAGGACAGGUCUGCUUAUGACAGAUUAUCGUUAUAAGAGUUUUCAUAUCAGACUUGAGCUUUCAUUAAAAUAUGUAAACAACAUUCGCAUUGUUUUUCCACAGAUAUCAUUUAUUAUUUACUCGCUAGACUCUACUAGAUAUUAUACAAAUGCUCUCUUUUAUUUGAUAUACAUGUAUUUUUAUAUAAAUAAAAAAUG
rnacentral:lncRNA from 1 species